UUUGGCCUCUAUUUUUUCAAUUGACCCACCUCUCUCUCUCUCUCUGUCUGUAUCUCUUCUUCGUUGAAUUCAAUCACCACGGAUAGGAUCUACGAACUUUCUCCGUGGUCUCAAACGAGGAUCCGAUCUAAGAGCGUUGACUGGCGGUGGCUUUCUUCUCAUCCAAAUCAGAAUUAGAUGAUGCCAGGCCUAAACCCUCUCAUCCUCUUUGCAAUGUUGUCGUCAUCGUCUCUCCCCAAACCUCCAACCUCGCCGCCUACCUUUGACGCCUGUGUGAUGCCAUUGAAGAGCUCCAGAGUAGCCAAAGCUCCAGAGUAGCCAGUGCUCCGCCAAGUUAUGCGUCCUCACACUUACCCACAGUUCUUACCCUCACUGUGAGGAUCUGUUUCGAACAAUGAACCCUAAACACCAUUCUUCGCCCGUAUCAUCCACCGCCAUCACCAAAUCGAAUUUAUGGUAAUAAUUAUUACAAGGUUUUUUUGGGUUUUGGUUAGUUGAUUAAUUGAUUUGGCUCUAAAUAUGUCUUACACAUCUCAUAUCAUCCACCACUCCAAAAAGGUCAGCUCUUCAAUUGAAUUUGGUUUUGAUUCUAAUAUGGGUGAUGCUAUUUACUUUGGUGUUGAUUUUUUUGGCAAAAUAGGUUUUUCUGCAGUGAUUGGAGUAGUUAAGUCAAGGUUUAUACUUCGUGAAUUGAACAGGUUCUGAAAAUACGGGCUGGAGGCUGGCAAGAUUGACAUUCAAGAUUGUGGUUUCAUAUCAUGGUGGUUCCUUUGAUGGGUGGCAAAAGCAGCUGGACUUCUACACUAUCCAAAGAAAACUAAGGAAGAGAGGGAGAGGCAAAUUGGGUCAAACUAGAUCAUGGAAUAAGCACAGAGGAGCUUAGUUAGCUAAAAGGGUGAACGCUGGAAACAUUUAUAUGGUACUGCUGGAAACAUUUAUAGGUAUGAGGAACUUGUUUCUAACCCUAACAUGGAGUACAUUGCUGGAGGUGCUACUCAAAACUCCAUUUGAGUUGCCCAGGUACUAAAUGAAUUGCUUUCUGUAAUGCUCAAGUAAUUCGAUGAUUUACGUCCUUUAAUUGUCAUGAUUCACCAUAAACUAAUUUCUCUUUACUUUCUUAGUGUACACGAACAAAACAUGAGCUUUUGGAACUCAUGUGGUUUUAUAACUUGCAACAAGUAAUUUUAGUUUUCCACCAGAUUUGCUCCAACUUUGUUAAUGUUUGGAUCCGUGGGGAUCUAAUUAACGUAAAGAAAGAGAUAGAGAGAUUGACACAAGAUGUAUAGUGGUUCGUCUCCCGCCUUAGCGGGAAACUACGUCCACUUGAAUGUUACACUAGUGUGUUGAGCCUUGCGGCCCAAGGGGAUUACAAAAGAUGGAAUGGGAUCGGAUGGAAUCAAUCCUGUUUAAGUGGGAGGAGAGUUCCUUUUAUAGGUGAAGGAAUGCUCUUCCUUUACAUGGUUUUCGAUGUGGGACAAGCAACCACACAAUUCUAGCUAGUCCAAGAAGCAUGUAGAAAGCCAUGUUGUGGAGGCAUCUUGGCAAGGGCGGGAACGUGGCUUCCCGGCGACGGAUUUGCCUCUUCUGGAUACCGUGGCGUAGCUUGAACAUAGGGCUACACGAUGGAUGUCGCGGUUGGGCCUUGCCAUGUCUCGUGGAUGUCCCAAAGUGGGUGUUACUUAUGCUUGGUGAUGUAGAGAACUAGCUUGCUAGUGUAUGUAUAAACAAACUUAUAUCUCCCUUCACUACUAAUUCUUUUUCUAAAACAGGUCCACUAUUACGAGGAUGAGUCUGCACCAACAUAUACUUGUGGUGUUUGUGUAAUGGGUGGUGCAAGGUGAGCUUCAGUUGAAGCUAGUUUAAAAAAUUUCCCAUUUUACCUGCCAAUUUGAUAGUUGUACUCUAUACUUCAUACAAAUAUAAUAGAUACUCAGAACUUAGUGUGGAGAACUGAUAACAGUUUUGCUUAAGAAACUUAGGUCAUACUUAUUGCUAAUUCGCAGCCGCUAACUGCUACAAAGUUGAGCAUUUGAAAAGACUAGAAAAUGGGUGUUGGAUGGGUAACCGUUCAGCCAAGUGUUUUAGGUUUCUAAUUUCAUUUCUCUAGUGUUGCAUCUUUCUGAAUUGAUUUCUUUGUCAAUCCUGUUUGAGAAGUUGAGAUGCCAAGUAACUGUAUCUCCAGAACCAUUCAGCUUGUUGCUGAACAUGCAGCUGCAAAAAACAAGGUAUUUGACAUGUCAUACCUUCAAAAUUUCAUCUUAUGUACUGCAGUUGUUUCCUUAGUGGGUAGAUCACUAGUUUACUAUGUUGAUAUCACAUGCAACACUUCUCACUGUUGAUACAAUCAAUUAUAUGUUUUGGCUAUCAAAAUUCUUGAAAGCAGCACUUGAGAUGCCUUGCACAGUACUGUACGAUGAAGCAUUACCUGCAAGAGCAUAAUAUAGCUACAGCCAAUCCAAGCAGCACAACAUGGUUUUCCUAUCUAAACCCUUCACUUUCAGAAAUCAAAUAUACUGUAAACAAUUAGAAUGCUAGUGUAGUCUAUCCCAAAUACUCAAUAUCUUGAAUUAUUCUCAUUUGUAAUUGAGUAUAGUUGGAAGAUUUGAGAUUGUAUUGAACUGAAUAUUGCUAGUUUGAAGAUCGUAUUGGUUGGCAAAGUCAUAUGUAUUGUGAUACUGACUUGAAUUGGAGUAUGGAUGAUACU